UAUGUUUGCUAGUAUUCUAAGAACCGAUGAUACAUAAAUCGAAGCGACCAUACACCCCUUAAUAUGACAUUAUCUCUUUUUGCAAUGUAAUAUGACACAUUUUGAUUAUUGAAUGAAUUUCAUUACCUUUGGUAGAACUUUGACAAGUGAGAAUUCUUAUUCUUCUUGUUGUAUCAAAAAUUGAAUUAACUUAUUAAGUUAUCUUGUGGUAUUUAUUCAUUCUUGCGUCU
rnacentral:lncRNA from 1 species